UGAAGCUGGAAUUGCUAGUAAUGGCAGGUCAGCAUACUGCCGUGAAUACGUUCCCGGGCCUUGUACACACCGCCCGUCACACCAUGAGAGUUGGAAAUACCCGAAGCCUGUGAGCUAACUGUAAAGAGGCAGCAGUCGAAGGUAGAGCCAAUGAUUGGGGUGAAGUCGUAACAAGGUAGC
rnacentral:rRNA from 1 species